rnacentral:lncRNA from 1 species
CUGCCUCCCGCGGCGGGCCGGGUCUCCAGGGAGGACCUGAGUUUUUCUUCACCCAUGGUCAGGGAGGCGCCAUCGCCCUGGCUUUGGGGCUGGGGCCUCCGGGGAGGUUCCGGUAGGGGCGUUGGAGAGGCCGCUCUUUUUGCAAGGCCCGAGAUGGCGGGCCCUGCGCAGGCCGCCCUAUUCCGCGCCCUCAGGGCGUCAGUAUCCGCCUGAGGCCGGAUACCCACUCUGGGCUCGGAUACCCGCGCUGGGCCCGGAGCAUCCUCGGCGCUGCCCUCCCAGAGCCCCGCAGAGGCUGAGGUGGCGCGGGGGCGGCCCCGGCUCCGCGAGAAGAGGCGGCAGCGAGGGCUGGAGGACCCGGGCUACGGGGCUCCGGGGCGUCUGGCCUGGGUGGGACUGAGCCCAUCCAGGGACUGGGACUCCGGGGUUCUGGUGUAGGUGGAUCCCGGGCAGGCUCAGGACCAAGACCCUCUCCUUCCACCAAGGAGCGCCCAGAGGCCGGCGGGAGCUCCAGGUUCACCUCCUCCUCCUCCAGGAAAUCCCACUUCCAGCUGGAUGUCUGGAUGAACUCCUGAAAGCUGCUGAGUGUCCUGCAGCAGGUGAGCUGUGGCCAGAGCCCAAGGAUGAAGGGGACUCCCUCACUCUGUGACUGUGAAGAGGAAGCCUGAGGUGUAGCAGGCCCAGGCCCCAGAAGUAUGGAAAAAAUGAGCCUUUCAUCCCAAAGAUGCAGCCGACUUGAUUGUGGUGGAUGAGCUUUUUGAUGUGCUGCUGGAUUCUGUUUGCUAGUAUUCUAUUAAGAAUUUUUGCAUUGAUGUUCAUCAGGGAUAUUGGCCUGGAUUGAGCAGGCCAUUUCCAAUCCAGAGGAAGACCUUCUAGAAGAAGUGAUGGGUGGGAGAGUGCUGACAUACUAUGCAAAGCUACUAUUUGGAGUUGGACACGAGUGCAUGUGACCUUGUGCCACAGCGGGAAUGUGAGCUGGAUGACAAAUGGAGAUUUGGACUUGUGAUAAUUGGCCUCUGUGUCAUUGUGUGGAAGACUGACUGGUCCCUUUAUUUCCUGUAGCUUGACUACCACACAAAUUAAUCCACUCAAAUGUUGGCAAGUGGAGCAGAGUCCCAGGACAGUCUGCAAUCUCUACAGGUACAGAAACACCCCCAGUUCAAGGAUCUUCACACCUGGAUUUAGGCCUACACCUGCAACUACCCCAGGCCAGUUAUCCAGGCAGUGACUUUCUGUACAGCUACAGUCACCUCUGGACACCUGCGGAGACUUUAAAAAUUUCCAGAAGGUCAGGAAUUUUUGGAGACCUUUCUUAUGGCUACGUUGCCUGCAAAGGUGAAUCAAUAAGCUUCUGAACUGACUUAGAAAAUGUUGCAGAGACUCUUGUGAACAGAUAGACCCUCUCCUGCCACUCCAGAUAGACGUAUCCGGGUCACACACACCUGAUUUAACAACAUCUCAUUAUCUCAGAUGCUGUAAAGGACUGUCAGUAGGCCUUCAGCCAGGAGGUGGUGCUUCCAAAAGACUGCCAGCUGUGGUGGUAGUGGUGAGAUUUGGACUUGCCUUAUGUUACCCAUGGGAGGCACUCUGGUGUCUCAGGAAAUAGGUGGAGCCAUAGAGCUUCUAAAAGUUUCUUCUGUUAUUUGUGUUAAUCUACCAGGGUAGGUGGUUGAGCAAAACCAAGUGGGAACUAGGUCAGGUAAGGUGAUGCUCUGGCUCUCUAUGUGUGGGACAAGCAGUGGAUCCAGUGGGAAUUGGAAGGCAGUUCUUGGGCCACUGGAGUAAUUUUCCAGAGAGAAGUGAAGCUGUCUCUGCCUCUGUACAAGGAGAGUCCAUAUGAAGAAUGGGGAGUAGCAGCUUGGUAGUAAGCCCCAUCCAGCUCCCACACACUUGGCAAGGCAGGUCUCACACCCACAGUGUUCCACUGGGAGUAGCUAGCUAAGUUUCAAGAAGUCUGAGCUCAGAACUCAAAACUGACCCAUACCAUAAGCCUCUCCUAUGGAGACAGCAACUGCAACCUUCAGGCCACACCCUUCCUGAUCCACCUACAGAGCAGGGUCCCCCAGCUCCUGUGCUUGCUGCUGCAGCACACUUCCCACUCACCUCUCAGUUCUGGCCUGGGGAGUUUGUCCCCAGUCAAGAUUAUAUCACACAUUUCAGUUGGGAGGUUGUCUCAACCUGUGACCACCAUCUGAGUUAGCUGGCAGACUUCUAGGAGGUCCUGUCUGAGGUAGAAUCAGAAAUGGCUUCCCUCCAUUCUACCAGAAACUGGGAAUGUGCUGGAGAUUCAAAGCACAUCCCAAUGCCACUCCUCAUAUACUCACCACUCUUCCCUAAAUCAGCUCCAGCGCUGAGUAGGGUUAAGGCCUUCCCUCACGGCCUGGAUUGAUAGGUUUCCCAGUGGAAGUGUAUAUCUUAGAGUCAGUUUACCCUCCUGUCACACCCUGGAAACUUACAAUUUUCUGCCUAGCUUAUGGUGUAAGCUGCAUCCUGCUGUUUCUUUCAAAUGGUCUGUGGCUUUUUUCAAUUUUCCUGUUAAAUUCCUGUGUAGCUUCUUGAAAGAAAGUUCACAGUGUGAGUCUCUACACAGCAUUUUGUCUUUCCAAGUGCAAGAGGCAGACUAACAAUGCCUUCAGUCCACCAUCUUGGAAAACAAAAGUAACAGUUUUCUCAUUUUUAAAAGUUUUGUUAAGAUCUGUUAAUGAUUCACAAAGAAAUAGUACUUGGGUAUAUUUGAAAUUAGUAUUUAUUCAUUUAUGUUGAUAAGUGAAAAUGCAAGAUGGUUAUCAAGAUGGAAGUACUUAAUAUGUAUAUUUUAAUAUUCUUAGAUGCAGAUAACUUCACUUUUGAUGUAUUUUUAUUUUGUCUCAGUUUCAUUUCAACUUACGUUUAAGGGGUUCUUGAUAAUCUGACAUGAUAAGUGGUGUUGGAAUUGGCAUUAAAAUCCACCAUGCUCUACAGCACUUCAUCCUUCUUCGGCAGGCACCAAUUUGAUCUUCUACUACUUUGCAGACAUCUCUUCUGCAAACACCAGACAAACUGAGACAAUGAACUUCCGCAGGACCCAAAGCACCUCUUACUGCAGGAAAGAAGAUCCAGUGAGAUAGUUAGUCCACAAAUGGAAUGUCAAUCCAUAAACACACUUAAGUAACAGAAUAAAUUUAGUAUGAGCGUUUUUAUGUGGGAGCUCUUGAAAUGGUUGCUGCUCAUAUGUCAGAGACAUAUGCAGUUUAAGAAAGGUAGCAGUUCCAAUCCUGGUUUGGCCCAACAGUCACUGCAUUUUUGGUGGGGAAAAGGGAUGUGGGAGGAGAUGGUACAUCUUCAUCUUUUUCUCUGGGUUUUCUGUCAGAAAGGGAUGUUGCUUACUCCAGUGGCAAAAAAUGCCAGUGUCUUCUGCCAGAGUGGGUUACUGAGGGCCAUGGUGGUUCCACCUUGUGGCUGAUACAGAUAGUCCCUUUCUGCUUUUGUUUCUAGCCAAAAAAGAUGUUUCUCGCAUCUCAGGUAUGCAGACUUCAGCAGCUGUUUUUUCUAUAUGGCUAUUUUUUUUUUCUUUCACUCUCUCUUUCUCUCUUUUUUUUUUGUUGGCUUCACUGUGUUGCCAUAGUUUCUUAAAUGGUCCCUUGAACCCUCCCAGAGCUAUUUUGGUUUGUACAUAACUAUCUAUAUAUUUUUUUCUUGGGGGGAGUGUGUAGAGCUAAAGGCUGGUAUAUCCUGCUCCUGCUCCCCGAAAGUGACGUUAUUCCCCCAAGCUAAUAUUUCAGGCUUUCAAUUUAUUCAUGCUUUCAUCUGUUUAAACAUAAGUAGAAAUUACUUUUUCUCUCCACAUUUAGAUUUGAUCUAUCUACUUUAAUUGCUAAUAGUGUCUUAGUCAUAGAAUAGAUUAGUUAGAAAAAAGUGUUUUUGACAUUAUAAAUGAUUCUUUCAAUUUGUGUCUAAAAGUGGAAAAUACUAGAAAGCUUAACAUUUAUUAUUGUAUUCAGACCAGUAUUUCCUCCAGAUGACCUUUAUUACAACAAAGAUAAUUUAAUGAAGAUCUCUCUAAUGGUAAAGCUGAUGGCUUUGUGCUAUUACAAUAUCCUUCAAAUAAAGUGACGAUCUGGUGGAAAGAACAACUAAAGCAAGGAUUAGGAAGAAAACAGUUAAUACCUUCAUUUUGGUCUCACUCUGCAUUAAGAGUUUUCAUUGUGUUAAGGAUUUAUUAUACAUUAAGUAAUUUAAUGUUCAUUUAAUAAUAAAUGGAUCCUAUUAAAUAUGAUUUUUAAAAUUAUAAUCAC